rnacentral:rRNA from 1 species
CAGUCGCCGCGGGAAUACGAAGGGGGCUAGCGUUGCUCGGAAUGACUGGGCGUAAAGGGCGCGUAGGCGGCGAUCAAAGUCAGGCGUGAAAUUCCUGGGCUCAACCUGGGGGCUGCGCUUGAUACUUGGUUGCUUGAGUGGGGAAGAGGGUCGUGGAAUUCCCAGUGUAGAGGUGAAAUUCGUAGAUAUUGGGAAGAACACCGGUGGCGAAGGCGGCGACCUGGUCCUUGACUGACGCUGAGGCGCGAAAGCGUGGGGAGCAAACAGGAUUAGAUACCCGCGUAGUCCCUGUCUCUUAUAC